AUGACGUCAAAUCAUCAUGCCCCUUAUGACCUGGGCUACACACGUGCUACAAUGGGCGGUACAAAGGGUCGCGAACCCGCAGGGGAGCCAAUCCCAAAAAGCCGCUCUCAGUUCGGAUUGCAGGCUGCAACUCGCCUGCAUGAAGCCGGAAUCGCUAGUAAUCGCGGAUCAGCAUGCCGCGGUGAAUACGUUCCCGGGCCUU
rnacentral:rRNA from 1 species